GACGCUAACGCAUUAANCACUCCGCCUGGGGAGUACGACCGCAAGGUUGAAACUCAAAGGAAUUGACGGGGGCCCGCACAAGCGGNGGAGCAUGUNNNNNNNNNNNAAGCAACGCGAAGANCCUUACCAGGUCUUGACAUCCCGAUGCCCGCUCUAGAGAUAGAGUUUUACUUUUUGUACAUCGGAGACAGGUGGUGCAUGGUUGUCGUCAGCUCGUGUCGUGAGAUGUUGGGUUAANNNNNNCAACGAGCGCAACCCUUAUUGUUAGUUGCCAUCAUUAAGUUGGGCACUCUAGCGAGACUGCCGGUAAUAAACCGGAGGAAGGUGGGGAUGACGUCAAAUCAUCAUGCCCCUUAUGACCUGGGCUACACACGUGCUACAAUGGUUGGUACAACGAGUCGCAAGCCGGUGACGGCAAGCUAAUCUCUGAAAGCCAAUCUCAGUUCGGAUUGUAGGCUGCAACUCGCCUACAUGAAGUCGGAAUCGCUAGUAAUCGCGGAUCAGCACGCCGCGGUGAAUACGUUCCCGGGCCUUGU
rnacentral:rRNA from 1 species